GAGUACAAGAGGUUUGUUUGAAACAGACCGCAAUGGAGAGAUCAGCGCCCAGGGAAGUGAGGGAACAACAGGUUCCUUCCAGCAGCACAUCGGGAUGGGAGCCUGGGACUGAUUCGGGGCAAAUAUUUGAUGGAUCAGUCCAAGGGUGACCAGCUGCUUCUCACAAUGAGCAGACAAUUACUUGAAGGACCAAGCCAGUGUAAUAUGUACAAAGCCAAGUGUGAUCAGUUCCUUCUAACAAAUAGCAGGUAUGUAGUCAGACUGAAGAACAUCCUUUUCACAGUUAGAGAGCAGAUUGAAUAAGACACACGUUGACUCAGUUUCCAGAGAGAAAGUUUCAAAUCAAGAAUCAACUACCUUGGAGGAAUUACAUUUUUUUUCCCUCUCUCCAUUCUUGAGGUAUAUCACCCUAUUUGCCAAUAAUUGUUAUAAUUCACAGCCAUAGAGUUUAGAGAUGUAUAGCACAGAAACAGACCAUUCGGUCUGACUCAUCCAUGCCUACCAGAUAUUCAAAAAUAAUCACGUCCCAUUUGGCAGCACCAGUGCCAUUUGCCAGCACUUGGCCCAUCUCCCUCCAAACCGUUUCUAUUCAUGUACUCUUCCCGAUGCCUUUAACUGUUGGAAUUGUUCCAGUCUCCACCACUUCCUCUGGCAGUUCAUUCCAUACACAUGUCACGGGAUCCAUUACUUCUUCAUGAAAAGACUCGAUUCCUCUGUGGAAUUUUACCUGAUUAUAUUAUAUUGUAUAAGAUUAAGCUUAACAGCAAUGAUGCUAUUAACUCGUUAAAUGUCAUGGGAUCUGUCUACUUCUUUAUGAAAAGACUCGAUUCCUCUGUGGAAUUUUACCUGAUUAUAUUAUAUUGUAUAAGAUUAAGCUUAACAGCAAUGAUGCUAUUAACUCGUUAAGUGUCAUGGGAUCUGUCUACUUCUUCAUGAAAAGACUCAAUUCUUCUGUGGAAUUUUACCUGAUUAUAUUAGAUUGUAGCAACAAUGAUACUAUUAACUCUUUUUAUUGUAUUUUAGCCUAGCAACAAUUAAGUAUAACUAUGACUAUGUGGCAACUGCUCUCUACCAGCUACUUAUUGUUUUCUCAGCUAAUUAAGUGUUUAACGCGACCUUUAAACAAUGCUGACCGAGGCACAGUUUGAGAUUCCAGUUCUUUAAACAAAUGAUGUAAUUGCUUAACUUAGACUGUAAGGGAUAUAAAAGCAGAGCUAAAACAGACAGAACUCACUCUUGUCUUGAAACACAGACAAUGAGUCACCCAACCAUCCUCUGAACCACCAGGCUUGCAGAAAAGACACAUUUGUGCAAAAUACGGACCGAUCGGAUGAAACAUACGGACGGCUAAGAGCUUGCUGAAAUACGCCUGCCUAAAAGAUUCUCGGUUGAGGCACUGCAUUCUAGCCUGAAGAAGAUACAAUCUGAACCAACUAGCUGAUACACGCUAGUCUAUGAAGAUCCCAUUUGGGACACUCAGGUAGUAAGCUCUGCUUUAUAUCCUAGGUAUCUUUUAAGAACAUUCAAAAAGGCUGUAACGAUUGUGAUUAACUGAAAACAUCUGAUUACCUCAAACCAGGAUAAACCUUCGUUUGUCCAAACCAAAAACCAAACCAAACCUUUGAAACACAGACGCGACCCGUCUUUGGGUGACGCUAAAUCAGAAAAACAAAAUAAGUCCAAGCAGCUACCACCUUGGAAGAAACCAAAACCACAGAAAACCUGCGUACCAAAAUGGAACCAAAAACUUACAUUACUGGAACUCAACAAACCCUCUGCAUCUAUGCGAAAAAAAAACAACCUCAAUAUUCCUUUAUCAAUAUCCAAAAAUUAAAGAAUGGGUAACUAGAAAGAAGGAAACCAACACCACACGGAAUACGGAUGGUGGACUGAGCCAAGAACAGUUCUAAAAGAACACAACAUUGGACAAUGUUUAAAUUGUAAUGGACGUAAAAAGGCACAGAG